rnacentral:rRNA from 1 species
CCUACGGGUGGCAGCAGUGGGGGAUAUUGCACAAUAGGGGGAACCCUGAUGCAGCGACGCCGCGUGGGUGAAGAAGCGCCUCGGCGCGUAAAGCCCUGUCAGCAGGGAAGAAAAUGACGGUACCUGAAGAAGAAGCCCCGGCUAACUACGUGCCAGCAGCCGCGGUAAGACGGAGGGGGCAAGCGUUAUCCGGAUUUACUGGGUGUAACGGGGGCGCAGACGGCGAUGCAAGCCAGGAGUGAAAGCCCGGGGCCCAACCCCGGGACUGCUCUUGGAACUGCGUGGCGGGAGUGCAGGAGGGGCAGGCGGAAGUCCUAGUGUAGCGGUGAAAUGCGUAGAUAUUAGGAGGAACACCGGUGGCGAAGGCGGCCUGCUGGACUGUGACUGACGUUGAGGCCCGAAGGCGUGGGGAGCAAACAGGAUUAGAUACCCCUGUAGUC